AACGCUAGCUACAGGCUUAACACAUGCAAGUCGAGGGGUAACAAGAGGGAAGCUUGCUUUUCUCGUUGACGACCGGCGCACGGGUGAGUAACGCGCAUCCAACCUGCCUAUAACUAGGGAAUAACCUUGCGAAAGUAAGACUAAUACCCUAUGAUUUCCUUUGAUGGCAUCAGAUUAGGAAUAAAGAUUUAUCGGUUAUAGAUGGGGAUGCGUCUGAUUAGCUUGUUGGCGGGGUAACGGCCCACCAAGGCAACGAUCAGUAGGGGUUCUGAGAGGAAGGUCCCCCACAUUGGAACUGAGACACGGUCCAAACUCCUACGGGAGGCAGCAGUGAGGAAUAUUGGUCAAUGGGCGGAAGCCUGAACCAGCCAAGUAGCGUGCAGGAUGACGGCCCUAUGGGUUGUAAACUGCUUUUAUACAGGAAUAAAGUUAGCCACGUGUGGUUAUUUGUAGGUACUGUAUGAAUAAGGACCGGCUAAUUCCGUGCCAGCAGCCGCGGUAAUACGGAAGGUCCAGGCGUUAUCCGGAUUUAUUGGGUUUAAAGGGAGCGUAGGCCGUCUGUUAAGCGUGUUGUGAAAUGUAGAUGCUCAACAUCUGAAUUGCAGCGCGAACUGGCAGACUUGAGUGUGCGCAACGUAGGCGGAAUUCGUGGUGUAGCGGUGAAAUGCUUAGGUAUCACGAAGAACUCCGAUUG
rnacentral:rRNA from 1 species